rnacentral:rRNA from 1 species
AUUGAACGCUGGCGGCAUGCUUUACACAUGCAAGUCGAACGGCAGCGCGGGGCAACCUGGCGGCGAGUGGCGAACGGGUGAGUAAUACAUCGGAACGUACCCAGAAGUGGGGGAUAACGUAGCGAAAGUUACGCUAAUACCGCAUACGACCUAAGGGUGAAAGUGGGGGACCGCAAGGCCUCAUGCUUUUGGAGCGGCCGAUGUCUGAUUAGCUAGUUGGUGAGGUAAAGGCUCACCAAGGCGACGAUCAGUAGCUGGUCUGAGAGGACGACCAGCCACACUGGGACUGAGACACGGCCCAGACUCCUACGGGAGGCAGCAGUGGGGAAUUUUGGACAAUGGGGGCAACCCUGAUCCAGCAAUGCCGCGUGAGUGAAGAAGGCCUUCGGUUGUAAAGC